AUUGAGCUAAACAAAGAGCUUUCUGGGAUUCAAGUUGUUCUCUCUAAUCCUUACAACAUUAUGCUACAAAUGAUUAAAAAGCCUUCCUUAUAUGGGUUUGAGGUGGCUUCACUCGCGUGCUGCGCAACAGGACUAUUUGAGAUGGGUUAUGCGUGUGAUCGAUAUAAUCUUUUCACAUGUAAAGAUGCAAAUAAAUACAUAUUUUGGGAUGCAUUUCAUCCAACGGAAAAAACAGAUCGUAUCAUCGCCGACCAUGUGGUUAAAACAGCUCUGUCCAAGUUUUUAGAAUAAUUAUAAGAUGGAGAUUAUCUAUUUGUAUGCUUUGGUUAUUCCAUAAACCCAUAUAUAAUUAGUAUGUAAUUACGUGUGUAUAUUCUUAGAUUGAGUGGAUUUCUAGUUACGUAAACUGGUGUUGUUGCGUGAUGUUCUUUCAUCCCUCAUACGAAGAAGGAUAUGUAAUAUGAGAAGAUGAGUGAUUUUAUGUUGCUAAUAGAAUUACCUUUUAUUGA